AUUGAACGCUGGCGGCAGGCUUAACACAUGCAAGUCGAGCGGAGAUGAGGUGCUUGCACCUUAUCUUAGCGGCGGACGGGUGAGUAAUGCUUAGGAAUCUGCCUAUUAGUGUGGGACAACAUUCCGAAAGGAAUGCUAAUACCGCAUACGCCCUACGGGGGAAAGCAGGGGAUCUUUGGACCUUGCGCUAAUAGAUGAGCCUAAGUCGGAUUAGCUAGUUGGUGGGGUAAAGGCCUACCAAGGCGACGAUCUGUAGCGGGUCUGAGAGGAUGACCCGCCACACUGGGACUGAGACACGGCCCAGACUCCUACGGGAGGCAGCAGUGGGGAAUAUUGGACAAUGGGCGGAAGCCUGAUCCAGCCAUGCCGCGUGUGUGAAGAAGGCCUUUUGGUUGUAAAGCACUUUAAGCGAGGAGGAGGCUACCUGGAUUAAUACUCUAGGAUAGUGGACGUUACUCGCAGAAUAAGCACCGGCUAACUCUGUGCCAGCCGCCGCCGUAAUAC
rnacentral:rRNA from 1 species